GGGCCCGCACAAGCGGUGGAGCAUGUGGUUUAAUUCGAUGAUACGCGAGGAACCUUACCAGGGCUUAAAUGUAAGUUGCAUUAGUUAGAGAUAACUAUUUCUUCGGACCACUUACAAGGUGCUGCAUGGUUGUCGUCAGCUCGUGCCGUGAGGUGUCAGGUUAAGUCCUAUAACGAGCGCAACCCCUGUUGUUAGUUGCCAGCGAUUCAAGUCGGGAACUCUAACAAGACUGCCGGUGCAAACCGUGAGGAAGGUGGGGAUGACGUCAAAUCAUCACGGCCCUUACGUCCUGGCUACACACGUGCUACAAUGGUAGGGACAGAGAGCAGCCACUACGCGAGUAGGAGCGAA
rnacentral:rRNA from 1 species